rnacentral:rRNA from 1 species
GACGAACGCUGGCGGCGUGCUUUACACAUGCAAGUCGAACGGUGAAGGUGGAGCUUGCUCCGCCGGAUCAGUGGCGAACGGGUGAGUAACACGUGGGCAACCUGCCCCUAACUUUGGGAAAACUACUCGAAAGAGUAGCUAAUACCGGAUAUGAAGUCUGUAGGCAUCCAUGGAUUUGGAAAGUUUUUCGGUUAGGGAUGGGCCCGCGGCCUAUCAGCUUGUUGGUGAGGUAGUGGCUCACCAAGGCGACGACGGGUAGCCGGCCUGGGAGGGCGACCGGCCACACUGGGACUGAGACACGGCCCAGACUCCUACGGGAGGCAGCAGUGGGGAAUAUUGCGCAAUGGGCGAAAGCCUGACGCAGCAACGCCGCGUGCGGGAUGAAGGCCUUCGGGUUGUAAACCGCUUUCAGCAGGGAAGAAGCGAAAGUGACGGUACCUGCAGAAGAAGCACCGGCUAACUACGUGCCAGCCGCCGCAGUAA